rnacentral:rRNA from 1 species
CUUUAUUCCUUGGACAUAAAUCAUGGGCAACUUUUGAUUCCAAUAAGGAGGUUGAGAUCGUGUCUUUCUGGACCUUAGGGCCUGUCCUAUCUACCCUUGACAAAGACAAGUGGCUCAUACCAGUGGGAGAUGAUUUCUUGUAUUUCCAUUUAUCUCUCUUGUAACCCUUAUAUAAAGAGAACACUUAUUCAUUAAUAAUAGACAUAAACUUACGGUUCUAAAUCCUAAGUUUCACAACAAAAAAUGUAUUAAUAAUAGAUCUAGAAAAUAAAUCGGAUCUGGAUCAGAAAAUUAAAGACAAUGUAUUUGGAUCUCAGAUCUGAUCAAGGAGACUCUUCACUUUGCGUCCAGGUUUGUCGAACCAAGUUAGUUCCUUCGCGGUAAGGAGCAGGACGGUUUUAUUUGACGGACAGUCCGUUAGGUAAGCUCAUCGCCAACUUGGUUUCCAGCACACCCAAGUCUUUGGACAGUUGAAGAAUCCGUGCCUUAGAAAAUUUUGAUCACUAAAGUUCAAGAACUGAUCAUACUGGCGGCUGAUCCAUCACGUUAAAUCGAACGAACUUGGCAGCUCGGAUCAGAAUGGACCAAAAGAAAUACUAUGGUCUGUCUGGUUUCCACUUUCGAUCAAAGUGAAAUCUGGCUUGACUAUCCAGUCUUGGCUUGGCCAGUUGGUCGGGAAGACGAGCUCGAUGCAGUUGGUUCGGUCAUCAAGACAUGGUUCCAGCCUUAGCUCCUUUCUGCUGCUUUCGCUGAAUUACAUCUGGUACAUGCACCGGUCUGUCAUGUUGUCUGGAACGAUCGGCUUCUUGAACUUCGGUUGGAAUGAUCUGAACGUCCUGAUCUCCAUCCUGGCCUGGUUCCAUGUUCUGAUCCAUGUACUGAGGCGCAUAAUGGGGGACAGACUGGAACGGCUCUUUCGGGAGCUUUCCCCGGGCGUCGAACAGCUAAUUCAGAACUGGUACGGACAAGGGGAAUCCGACUGUUUAAUUAAAACAAAGCAUUGCGAUUGUCCCUGCGCGGAUGCUAACGUAAUGUGAUUUCUGCCCAGUGCUCUGAAUGUCAAAGGUAAGAAAUUCAACAAAGCGCGGGUAGAUGGCGGGAGUAACUAUGACUCUCUUAAGGUAGCCAAAUGCCUCGUCAUCUAAUUAGUGACGCGCAUGAAUGGAUUAACGAGAUUCCCACUGUCCCUGUCUACUAUUCAGCGAAACCACAGCCAAGGGAACAGGCUUGGCAGAAUCAGCGGGGAGAGAAGACCAUGUUGAGCUUGACUCUAGUCCCACUUUGUGAAAUGACUUGAGAGGUGUAGAAUAAGUGGGAGCUCCGGGGUAACAACCCCUUCUUUUAGACCCAAGACAUGCUUCGGCUUGUCGAUCCGGGCAGAGGACAUUGUCAGGUGGGGAGUUUGGCUGGGGCGGAACAUUUGUUAAAAGAUAACGCAGGUGUCCUAAGACGAGCUCAACGAAACCAAAAAUCUCUUGUGGAACAAAAGGGUAAAAGCCCGUUUGAUUCUAAUUAUCAGUACGAAUACGAACAGUGAAAGCGUGGCCUAUCGAUCCUUUAGACCUUCGGAAUUUGAAGCUAGAGGUGUCAGAAAAGUUACCACAGGGAUAAUGGCUUGUGGCAAUGGCGUUCAUAGCGGCGUUGCUUUUGAUCCUUCGAUGUCGGCUCUUCCUAUCAUUGUGAAGCAGAAUUCACAAGUGUUGGAUUGUUCACCCACCAAUAGAACGUGAGCUGGAGUUUAGACCGCCAUUGAGACAGGUUAGUUUUACCCUUACUGAUGCCCGCAUGUAAAUAGUAAUUCAAUAUAGUGCGAGAAACCGUUGAUUCGCCUGAUUGGUCACCGCGCUUGGUUGAAAAAGCCGUGACGCCGAAGCUCCGUUAAGCUGAAUUAUGACUGAACGCCUCUAAGUCAGAAUCGGGCUGAAGAAGAGAUGCCCGUGCACACUGAUUGAUUGACCCUCGGUAAGAGCCCGGCUCCCAAAGGCACGCGUGUGGGUUGGCUAAGUUAGUUCAAGCCGAAUCAAUGUCUAAAAGUCCGCGUUGGGUCG